GAGGAGGUCAAGAGAGGCCAGAGAGCAUUGACAAGGCUCAACUCUCUUGACAACUACAGCCCAAUGCUCACAGAGCCAACCUCCAGAACUAAAGGAUUUGGAGUAACUAUGCCUUGGCCCUUGAGAGACCCCACUCCAGGACUCUUUCCCAGGGACAGGAGACACUCCAGCCUUGCCAUCUCCCGGCAAGAUGGGGAAGAUGGGGCAUGUGAUGAGUCACUCCAGUUAGUAGCAUUGAGAAAGCUGCUCAAGAACUGGCAACCGCACCACUGGGGACUGACAAUCAAGAGAGCAAAUCGGGAUGGGGAAGGACAGUCAGUGGAGACCAAUGUGUGGGAGGUAC